UAUAAGUAAGCAUGUGAGAGGUUACUAAUAAUGAUGAAUAUUGAAAGGUGAGCUUGAUGGAUAAUGAGGAUGUUCCGCAGUCGCAGGCUAGUACGAAAGCUAAGGUGUGUGAUAUGUCCGGAAAAUGGACCCCAGAUCUACCCACAUCCUCUUCUUCUGAACCAAGUAUCAAGCAGGCUUUGAGGCAAAGGAUUCAGCAACAAAUUCAAGAGGAUCGUUCAUGUCAAGAGAUGUUGGAGGCCAACAUUUCUCGUGUAACAGAAAACAUGAAGAGAAG
rnacentral:lncRNA from 1 species